GUCUUCUUAGCUCAGUGGUAGAGCGCUGGUCUCGUACGAAAUUAAUAGUAAACCAGAUGUCGGGAGUUCAAUCCUCUCAGAAGGCA
rnacentral:tRNA from 1 species